rnacentral:rRNA from 1 species
CCUACGGGUGGCAGCAGUGAGGAAUAUUGGUCAAUGGGCUUACGCCUGAACCAGCCAAGUCGCGUGAGGGAAGACUGCCCUAUGGGUUGUAAACCUCUUUUGUCAGGGAGCAACGCCGGCUACGUGUAGCCGGACUGAGAGUACCUGAAGAAAACGCAUCGGCUAACUCCGUGCCAGCAGCCGCGGUUAUACGGAGGAUGCGAGCGUUAUCCGGAUUUAUUGGGUGUAAAGGGGGCGUAGGCGGAAUGCCAAGUCAGCGGUAAAAUCGCGGGGCUCAACCUCGCUCCGCCGUUGAAACUGGCGGUCUUGAGUGGGCGAGAGGUAUGCGGAAUGCGUGGUGUAGCGGUGAAAUGCAGAGAUAUCACGCAGAACGCCGAUUGCGAAGGCAGCAUACCGGCGCCCAACUGACGCUGAGGCACGAAAGCGUGGGUAUCGAACAGGAUUAGAUACCCUGGUAGUC